rnacentral:pre_miRNA from 2 species
GACUUCAACUGAAAAAAUCAUCAACAACAAAGUUGUAUAAUUCAUCUAGAUCAAAAAUUUUUAUUUUGGUCAUUUGUUCAUCCGACAAAGUAAUUUUAGUAUUGUUUACAAAAUUUACAUAUCUCUUAUAUGGUUUUAUAAACUAUAAGAGAGAUAUGUAAAUUUUGUGAACAAUGUUACUAUCACUUUGUCGGAAGAAGAAAUGACCAAAAUAAAAGUUAUAGAUAUUGAUGAGUUAUAUAACUUUGUUGUUGAUGACUUUUUCAGUUGAAAUC